rnacentral:rRNA from 1 species
GCGCGAAACCUUUACACUGCAYGAAGGUGCGAUAAGGGGACUCCGAGUGCGAGGGCAUACAGUCCUCGCUAUUGUGUACCGUAGGGUGGUACACGACCAAGAGCUGGGCAAGACCGGUGCCAGCCGCCGCGGUAAUACCGGCAGCUCGAGUGAUGGCCGAUUUUAUUGGGCCUAAAGCGUCCGUAGCUGGCCCUGCAAGUCCGUCGGGAAAUCCACUCGCCUAACGAGUGGGCGUCCGGCGGAAACUACAGGGCUUGGGACCGGAAGACUUGAGGGGUACGUCUGGGGUAGGAGUGAAAUCCUGUAAUCCUGGACGGACCGCCGAUGGCGAAAGCACCUCAAGACGACGGAUCCGACAGUGAGGGACGAAAGCUAGGGUCU